rnacentral:lncRNA from 1 species
UCGAGUGGUGCUGCCCGUCGGGUGGAACGUAGCGCAUGCGUAACAGGAUGAGGUAGUGAUUGCGGAACAGGGUGAGGUAAUGAUACAGCUAACAAUACUAUUAAGUUGAGUUCACUUGAGAUGUACUCCACGACUCUCCAUUUUCAGCCUGUUCAGGGAAGCGUGAGUUUGAAGUGUCUGUUUAAUAUACGUGGUGAGGUAGUCCAGUGAGAUGACGGCGAAACGGACUGCGCUCUAAGAUACUGACCAGCAUUAACGAAAGAGUGAGGCGAAAGGAUUUCGGUUAGUGUAAGAGAUGAAGGAGAGGGUGCUACAAGCCUCCGGCGAGCUUGCCUAAGGACUCCAGAUGUUUAGUGGAAGCUGUUGUUACCAAUUCUCUUUACACAAGAAAGUUUUCUUGCAUCCAUAGACUGCUGUAUCAUUCAUAACCUCAUGAUUAAUGCAUCACGUCCCUGCGUUGAUAUCAGAAAGUAUUUCAAAUUCUCAGUCUUUAUGGACUGAGAUUUACUAGCAGUUCUUUCUUGGUGUAUUCAUUGAAAUUCUCCGAGAGCACUUCACUUGAACGUUUGGAUAAGUACUGAAAGAGAACGUGUGUUACAAGAGAACAGCGAUGCAUACUUGAGUUAUCUGUAGGAGGAGUAAUGGCGGCGAAUGAUGCUGUGGUUUCUAUGUCGAACAUUCAUGUCAAAAAAUGCGUGGGUUUAUGCGUUCGUCAGCAAUAUGUAAAAUCAGAUUUGUGGCUGAAAUGCUGUGUCAAUCGACAGACUUUGGUUUAAUCCUGACACGAAGGUAUCUUGUGGCAGAUCAACACGGGCACUCUUUCUGUUUAGCCACUCGAUCUUAUCAAGAUCUUCACUCUCACUCUGAAUCAGGACACCGCUGAUGGGCUGUCUUUUUUGUGUCACUCACACAGAAAACAUUCUGCUCCGACAAAAUUUGAACUGAGAAAGCGAAGGUUGUACACUUGCGCCACAACCAUAUGUGACCAACCAACGGUGCUGAAAAUAUCACAACAUGCGCAAGUCGAGAAUCAAAAAGCCUUAUUGUUUUCACCACAAAGGAGUCUAAGAAACGAGCACAACUCAGCACACAGGUGGAACAUUGGUCAGUUUAUUUAUUAUAUUUUAUUCAUUUUUGUCGAAAGCUCUUUCAACCA